CGAAGGGGGCUAGCGUUGCUCGGAAUUACUGGGCGUAAAGGGCGCGUAGGCGGAUCAGCAAGUUGGGGGUGAAAGCCCGGGGCUCAACCUCGGAAUUGCCUUCAAAACUGCUGAUCUAGAGUACGGGAGAGGUGUGUGGAACUCCGAGUGUAGAGGUGAAAUUCGUAGAUAUUCGGAAGAACACCAGUGGCGAAGGCGACACACUGGCCCGUUACUGACGCUGAGGCGCGAAAGCGUGGGGAGCAAACAGGAUU
rnacentral:rRNA from 1 species